GCCGAGGUAGCUCAGCAGGUAGAGCACGUCCAUGGUAAGGAUGAGGUCAGGGGUUCGACUCCCCUCCUCGGCUCCA
rnacentral:tRNA from 1 species